GUUUUCUGCAUUUUCUCUAAAAGGGUUGAACUUUUUUUUCUUUUUUUUUUUUUUAAUCGUGUUUCGGUGGGAUUUGGUGUUUUGCGUUUAGCUGUCUUUGUUAUGCUAGAAUGGGAACUUCGGAGAAGCCUGUGAAUGAGGUGCAUGAUCUGGGAUCAAGCCAAGAAACUGUUGUUAGUCCUGUACAUAAGGGUGAAGGAUUGAUGGGAAUAGUUGAAGAAGGUAAUCAUUCCCAUCAGUGGAAGCGGAAAAAUCUCUUUUUAGAGAUACCCUCAAGAACAUUGGAAGACUCCUUACAGGAUUCUGUUGUAAUAAAGAUUCCCCCAUCACCUAGUCCUACCCCUAGGAAAGUAAAUUUCCUCUUGACACCUAAUUCUAGUGAUGCAAGAGCCUGUGGAUCCCCAGGCCCCUCCUCAUCCAGAGGAAAAUCAUCCUUAAGAAGUCUCUUACCUAAACUAAGCUUCAAGUCUCGAAUUUCAACAUUAGAUGUUGAGAAGGCAGCCAGUCUACUACCUCCAGAUUCUUUGUGUACCAUGCCAAAGGAGAAACCAUCAAUCUCGAGGUCAUUAUCACUUACAAAGAUUUUCACCCCUCGGAUGAAGAGAACAUCAUCACUGCCAAUAACUCCAAUUGCAAAUUCUAACCCAGAAUCUACACGUGGAGGAAGCACUGGUGGUGCACUCAAUUCAAGUGGAAAAGGAGCCCAGCGACAGAUAUCUCGCUCACUUUCAGUCCCUGUCAACAAUAAAGAAAGAAGUAUACGAAGGAUGGAUUCCUUUUUUCGUGUCAUUCCUUCGACUCCUCGAGUGAAGGAAGGAGAUGCAAUAACAAAUGCUUCUCCAGGGAAUGAUACAGAAACUGAUGACACUGAUGGUGAAGAUAUACCUGAAGAAGAGGCAGUUUGUAGAAUUUGUCUGGUUGAACUGUGUGAAGGAGGUGAGACCCUUAAGAUGGAAUGUAGCUGCAAAGGUGAACUUGCUCUGGCCCAUCAAGAAUGUGCUGUAAAAUGGUUUAGCAUCAAAGGUAACAAGACAUGUGAUGUGUGCAAGCAAGAGGUUCAGAAUCUGCCUGUUACUCUGUUACGAAUCCAGAGUAUACGUGCUCGAACUUCUGGAGCAAGUAGAGCUCAUCAAGCAGAUGCUAAUGGAUACAGGAUUUGGCAGGAAGUUCCUGUGCUUGUCAUCAUUAGCAUGCUUGCCUACUUUUGUUUUCUUGAGCAGCUGCUGGUUGGAAAUAUGGGUACUAGUGCAAUUGCUAUAUCCCUUCCAUUUUCUUGUGUACUGGGUCUACUUUCAUCCAUGAUUUCAUCAACCAUGGUGAAGAGAAGAUUUGUUUGGGUUUAUGCAUCAAUUCAAUUUGCUUUGGUGGUUCUCUUUGCACAUAUUUUUUACUCAUUGGUCGACUUGC
rnacentral:misc_RNA from 1 species